GACGAAGGUGGCGAGCGUUGUUCGGAAUCACUGGGCAUAAAGCGCACGUAGGCGGCGACGUAAGUUGGGUGUGAAAUCCCUCGGCCCAACCGAGGAACUGCGCCCAGUACUGCGUUGCUUGAGGAUCCAAGGGGUGCAUGGAAUUCCCGGUGGAGCGGUGAAAUGCGUUGAUAUCGGGAGGAACUCCGGCGGCGAAAGCGGUGCACUGGUGGAUUACUGACGCUGAGGUGCGAAAGCCAGGGGAGCAAACAGGG
rnacentral:rRNA from 1 species